UGGGGAAUCUUCCGCAAUGGACGAAAGUCUGACGGAGCAACGCCGCGUGAGUGAAGAAGGCCUUCGGGUUGUAAAGCUCUGUUAUCCGGGAAGAAGGCCACCUGUGAACAGCAGGAUGGAAUGACGGUACCGGAGGAGGAAGCCACGGCUAACUACGUGCCAGCAGCCGCGGUAAUACGUAGGCGGCAAGCGUUGUCCGGAAUCAUUGGGCGUAAAGCGCGCGCAGGCGGAUAUAUAAGUCUGUCGUAAAAGAAUAGGGCUUAACCCUGUAAAGCGAUGGAAACUGUGUAUCUUGAGUGCAGGAGAGGAAAGUGGAAUUCCCAGUGCAGCGGUGAAAUGCGUAGAUAUUGGGAGGAACACCAGUGGCGAAGGCGACUUUCUGGACUGUAACUGACGCUGAGGCGCGAAAGCCAGGGGAGUGAACGGGAUUAGAUACCCCGGUAAUCCUGGCUGUAAACGAUGGGUACUAGGUGUAGGAGGUAUCGAACCCUUCUGUGCCGGAGUUAACGCAAUAAGUACCCCGCCUGGGGAGUACGGCCGCAAGGUUG
rnacentral:rRNA from 1 species